AUUGAACGCUGGCGGCAUGCCUUACACAUGCAAGUCGAACGGCAGCACGGGAGCUUGCUCCUGGUGGCGAGUGGCGAACGGGUGAGUAAUGCAUCGGAACGUGCCAUUGAGUGGGGGAUAACGUAGCGAAAGUUACGCUAAUACCGCAUAUUCUGUGAGCAGGAAAGCAGGGGACCGCAAGGCCUUGCGCUCUUUGAGCGGCCGAUGUCAGAUUAGCUAGUUGGUGAGGUAAAGGCUUACCAAGGCGACGAUCUGUAGCGGGUCUGAGAGGAUGAUCCGCCACACUGGAACUGAGACACGGUCCAGACUCCUACGGAGGCAGCAGUGGGGAAUUUUGGACAAUGGGCGCAAGCCUGAUCCAGCCAUGCCGCGUGAGUGAAGAAGGCCUCGGUU
rnacentral:rRNA from 1 species